GGAGGGGUGCGUGAGUGGCUGAAACGGCUCCGCUCGAAACGGAGUUCUCUCGUUAGAGAGAGACGGGGGUUCGAAUCCCUCCCCCUCCG
rnacentral:tRNA from 1 species